AAUUAAUAUCUUUCAAUAACUACUUUGAAAGUAAAUGGAAUAAAUGCUCUAAUCAGAAGACAUAGGGCUAGGGCACCUGGGUGGCUCAGUGAG